CCCCAUAUGCUUUCGAGUGAAAUGGAUUUAUAUUUAUUCGCCUAAAGAGAAGCUCGCGGCUGAUUAGCUUGNNGGNAAGGUAAGAGCUUACCAAGGCGACGAUCAGUAUCUGGUUUGAGAGGACGAUCAGACACACUGGAACUGAGACACGGNCCAGACUCCUACGGGAGGCAGCAGUGGGGAAUUUUCCGCAAUGGGCGAAAGCCUGACGGAGCAAUACCGCGUGAGGGAAGACUGCCUAUGGGUUGUAAACCUCUUUUUUCAGGGAGGAAUAAAUGACGUGUACCUGAAGAAUAAGCAUCGGCUAACUCCGUGCCAGCAGCCGCGGUAAGACGGAGGAUGCAAGUGUUAUCCGGAAUCACUGGGCGCAAAGCGUCUGUAGGUGGUUUAAUAAGUCAACUGNUAAAUCUUGAGGCUCAACUUCAAAAUCGCAGUCGAAACUAUUAGACUAGAGUAUAGUAGAGGUAAAGGGAAUUUCCAGUGGAGCGGUGAAAUGCGUAGAUAUUGGAAAGAACACCGAUGGCGAAAGCACUUUACUGGGCUAUACUAACACUCAGAGACGAAAGCUAGGGUAGCNAAUGGGAUUAGAUACCCCAGUAGUCCUAGCC
rnacentral:rRNA from 1 species